AAAUAGAAGAAAUCAGUUUAACUAGCAUGGUAUAAUUGACUAAGAAUUAUACAAAAUAGAUGAAGCAACAAUUUUCAUGAGUAAGGGUUGAAGCAGGCUGUGGACUCUGAGAAAGGGGAAACAAAAUAGCAGGCUAUGAAAUUGUCCUACGUUUCUUCUGGGAAGUAGUUACCUGGGUUCAGGGACUUGUUGUCCUGCGGAUCUGAGGAGAUGGCAGUGAUAGUACAUUUAGCUCAAGGAGAUGGAAUUAUGGUGCAGAGUACUCGACAGAGGGGAGCUGAACAAAGAAGAAACUGGAGUUGUGUAGAGGAGUCCCCUUGGGUGUAUAAUUGAGCACUGAUUAGUUAUUGUGUGAGAGGGAAACACCAAAGGCUGAAAAGAGCUACCAGAACUCAGACCAAACAAUGCCAGUAGCUUUGGAGAUAAGAGGACACUUCUCAUCAGCCUCAGUAGAAAGACCUGGCUGAGGAAGAGGAUGUGGAAACAGACAUCAAAAGGGGAGUAGGUCUCUAUUAGCCUUAGAUUAAAUGAUCAUCUGGAUAUGUUGUACCCUUCAAAUCUCAGAAGAACUAAACUGAUACCAAGUAACUUAACUGCCCGCCAGGACCAACUCAAACACUACUCAAAAGAACACAACAAAAUUAAGCAAUCAACCAUGUAAAAC
rnacentral:lncRNA from 1 species